UUCUUGUUCUAGUCCUGUUAGCCCGAGCUCCACUCUUUAGUUUCAAGUAAAGCCCUGUUCCGAGUAGUUCUAUUCUCCUUAUCAAUGAUUGGAUUCCGGUCUCUUGUCCUGCAACUAAUGCCUAUGAGCACUACUCUCCUUUCUACGAUUCUUCCAAUCUAUACAAACAGGCUAUAAAUUAUGUAAUAAACAUAUUAUCAAUAUCGAUAAGCAUAUUCUAAAUAACACUAGUAAAGUCAAUAACACUAGUCAAAGAAUAAGAG
rnacentral:lncRNA from 1 species